rnacentral:rRNA from 1 species
GACGAACGCUGGCGGCGUGCUUAACACAUGCAAGUCGAACGGAGUGGCGAACGGGCGAGUAACACGCGGGUGACCUGCCCUGCACUUCGGGAUAAGCCUGGGAAACUGGGUCUAAUACCGGAUAGUGUGGGAUGGGGCUGCGGCAUAGCAGCUUGUUGGGGGGGUAAUGGCCUACCAAGGCGGCGACGGGUAGCCUGCCUGAGAGGGUGGACGGCCACAUUGUGACUGGGACACGGGCCAUAGGCAUACGGGAGGCAGCAGUGGGGAAUUUUGCACGAUAGGCGGAGGCCUGAUGGAGCGACGCCGCGUUGGGGAUGACGGCCUUCGGGUUGUAAACUCCUUUCACCGUCGACGCGGUAGAUGGAGAAGAAGCACCGGCUAACUACGUGCCAGCCGCCGCGGUAAUAC